rnacentral:lncRNA from 1 species
UCGUCUCACUCCCGCACCAGCCGCCACACAACCCUAGGCCUCCUUGCACUUCGUUCCCCGCUCGCUCGUCCCUCGGUUCUCCUCAUCCCUCCUCUGCUCCGGCUGCUACGCCGCCUCUCCCUCCACAACACGACCAGCUCGAGCUCCACCUCCUCCAUCUCAAGGAGAUGACUGCACGACUGCACAAGACGUUCGGCGCUGUCACCAUCGUCCUCGACACGAGUGAAGCACGGGAUGCUUGCUGCAUCGCCGUCGUCCUUUCUUUCGCUGCCACCACCACCCCGACCGAGCCAUCCCCGUUCUCUCGUUGAGCCUUCUCCUCCGGGCUCACCGACCCAGGUGGCGGAGAAGGAGAGGGUGAGCUCGAGGGACAGGCAAGGGAGGAGGGCGUGACGGGGUCGGAUCUGGUGGUGGCAGAUUUGAGCUCGAGCUCGAGGCGGAGACAAGGAAGGUCGGAAAAUGAAGAGAUGGGAUGAAGGUGCUCGAGGCGAAGGACCGCUCAUCGGCGAGCUCUAGCUGGAGGCGGCGAGAUCCCUCUCCCAAUCUCUCAUUCUCUCGAUUUUCCCCUCUCCAAACCUUCAUCUAUGUUCUCGCGCAUUGCACACGUCUGCUCUCCCUCACCACAACCAGCGUCGGCAGCCUGCAUCCCCCGUCAAGCGUGCAUCGGCGCUAGAUGUGCAAGCUUCAACGACCGCAUCAACAACGAUGGUGGGCAGGCAAGGAGUGAGAUGGCGGUCACGAUUUUCAGUCUGAAGUUGCUUUUAUGAACUUUCAGUCAAUGUUAGCACUGAAUAUAUAUGGUAUUUCUUCUGCACCGAGCCGGAUAGUUUAGCUGAUAAUUUUUUCGUUCUGCAACCAAGUAGUGGAAGAUAAUGGUAACCAAGGCCACCUUUGUUGACCACGAUCCAGUUGUCUGUUAUAUUCUGUGUUUUCAUUUCCUUCCAUUAACAUGGCAUUAUGUGUUCUUAUUCAGCUUGCUUGUGGAAAAACUGGUUCUCGUUCAGUUAUGCCUGUCAGUCUGAUAGAAGAUGGACACCCCUCUUCAAGUUGGUUUAUGGGCUUGCGGAGUGUGAGAAGUAAGUUACUACUGGAUCCACUUUCUUGUCACUAGCCUUGCUUGACAUGUUCAUUUCUCACGCUACACUUACCAUCAGAAUCAUGUGAUUACAUGGAGAUAUACAUCAGUGCUUGGCAGUUAUUAACAUUAUGGACGAAACUUCUAAUUAUCUUGAUUAUCUUGCUGCCACUAACUGUGUUGUACUGAUAACACUGAUAGGCUUAACUGAUGUAUUCAGGUAUAGCUGUCAAUAACUUUUAUCUUGACUUCUCAGAAAUUGUUCCCUAGCAAUCGAAUGAUUAUGUAUUGCAUGGUUUGAUUUCUCAAAUCAUUCUGUGGUAUGCACGGUUCAAAUUUUCCAUUUGGACAACAGAGCUAGCCCACAGUGGUAGUAAAAAGUGGACUACUCUUUUUAUGACUGACCUAUGCGUGUUAUUCACAUUACGACGGACUGUUCUAGCUGUAAUUAGGAAUUUGGUGUUCUUGUCGAUCUUGUCUGCUUUUGUCGUGGAUACUGCCUCUAAACUUCAGGUGGGUUGUAUUGCUGAUGCCUUGGAAUAUGUAUUUUGAUGUGAACUAAUGUCUCUUGUGUGUGCUCCAGUGUUGAUCUUUUGGGACUAAUUUGUUGUAACUGUUUAUACUGAUGCUUCAUUAGUUGCAUAAGCAUAUAUGAUUCUGUGAGCAAAUUAUCUUCACUGAUCUAUUUUAGAGAGAUGUCUGAUUAGCUGCACAAGCAUACAUGGUUCCGUAGGUAAUUUGUUUACCCUGAUCAUCUUGCUAUCCAGUUCUGUUGGUAUGGUCUGAAACAGAUUCACAAGUAUUUAUGAUGAUUGUUUGCAUGGUGGGUCAUGCUAGCAAUGUGCUUUGCAUAUACACGAUUCAAAUAUUUGUUAGGUGUUUUAGUUUACACAUUUCUCCUGAAAAUCUAUAUAUGUGUAUGCAGUCAUUUUUGAAUUGGCUAUGAUUCUUUUUAGUGUUUUAGUUUACACAUUUCUCUUGAGAAUCUUCAUAUCGAACUGUAAUAGUAUGUAUAAUAUAGGUUUGUAAUUUUUCCAUUACUUGGUUCUUGCCCAGGUCUUCUGUUUCUAUACCAUACUGUUCUCGUGUCAUUCCUGGUAGUUCUUGUAGGGCCUACAGAUCAGCUCAGUUUAUAUAUAUAUGCUUUUACUCCUGAAGACAGUUUAAUGAUGUUUAUUCUUCUAGUUUACGAAAAUCUCUGCCUUAUAGGGCCGGUUCAUAUUGACAUGGAGGAGGCAUAGAGGGUUAUUGCUUCUGUUUGUGGGCUGGCCUUGAGGGGGAGACCAAAGCAAACAUCAACAUGUUCAAGGUGCAUAUACUCUGCUACUUGUGUUCGUCUCCCUACCUAAUGUGGAGCAUUAUACAUUUUGCUCAAUAUAGUUAGUUACUUAGUUUACUGGAAGUUGUGAUAGUCAGAGCGCAUACAUGCUUGAUUUUACUUCAGUUAGUAGCUGUAUCCAGUAGGAACUUAUUUGCGAAAACUAGACCUGGAGAAAGUAUGCAGCCCUGUUUUGUGCAGAUAACUACUUUUGGUUACAUACUGUUGGCAAAUUUAGUAGGCUUAUACAAUAAGCUUCUUCAUUGAUUUUGUUAUUCGUAAACCUGUAGUUACGGAGAUCCAUGAGUUUCAUCGAACAUAUAAACGCUGGUGGGCAACCCGCCGUUCUAGGGGCCUUCGCGCGCGCACGAUCGCUGGCUGUUCGAUUAGCUUCUUUAAUCGUUUUUCAGCCUCGAAUUUUACCAUUCACUUCUAUCUUUUGUUACAACUUUGGCUGCUUUACCGGGUGGCUGCCAUUGGGCCCAUAAAAUCAUUGGUCCAUGCGGCAGCGGAGUGCUCGUCAACUCGGUCUGUGACCGCCCGUAAAAAAAACCUAGAUCGUCUAAUACUAUCUCUAUGGGGAUAUGUCUGAAGCUUCAGUAUGUUUUCCCCCUAACAGUAUUUAAUCUAACCAGUGGUGCAUCAGGUACUAGAUUGUGGUGAGAAAAUCGAACUACUCGUUGAUAAAGACAGCAUGCUCGCUCACAUGUAUUGUGGUUUCGCACUCAUAAAUCAGUACUUGGGCAUUGUCUUUGUUUUAUAUAUAUAAGAAUGUUAUCAUCAAAAACUGUAAUAUCUCUACUAAUAAACUUUAUGGAAGUGCACCACCAACUGAAUGAGGAGAGAGCUAUCUUCAACUGAUGAUUCCACCCCUUUUUACAUAACACUAGCUGCUGCACAGUAAAAAUUGUCUCGCAGAUGCUCUUUAUGACACAAACUGACAGAUUAAUGAGUGCACUCAUGGAGAACAUAACAAGGUAUUUUAGGAAGUGCUUGGACUAGGUUCAAAUUUUUGACAGUCUUAGGCUUUCUGAAAUACAGCCAUGGGAUGACCCGCCCUCCCGAGCGAUCGAGCGAUUUCACGUCGUUCUGGCCGUUUGAUCUCUCCUGGUCGGGUCAACGCGGCCUGUCGGCCGCCCCUUUUUUGCUGCAUGUUUUGACCGAGGGAAUCGAGUGUGGGCUACGAUGACUGGUGGGCUCGCCGGGUUCUUCCAUUGGCUGGGUUCGAAGUUCUCGUGUGCCCACUCCUAGCGCAUCGCGUGGCUCAUCCCGCGCUGACCGCGGCGUGCGUGUGUUCUGUACAAAGCUUGUUUAGUUCUCUAAAACCUGCACAUGUUAGAUACAGUUUGCGAGAACAUGUGCAGAUUUGUGAGAACUAAGAAAACUUUUCCCCAGAACAUGUCCAUUGAUAGUAAGAUCGUUUGCCAUAGUGAAAGGAGGCAAUGCGUUUGAUAUAGCUUGUCAUGAGAUAAUGAAACAAUAGUGUUUAUUUGGUCACCAGCAAGAUGAUGAUGUGAAGAAUGACUAUUUGCGUCUUUCAGAGUUUCUACCAUUAAAUAGUUUCCCAUAACAGAAUAUUUGCUAAUAUUGGUAGCUAAAAAUGAGAUACUUAUGCUUGUUGACGCUUUCCCUUUUUGUAGUAACAUCCAUGUGUCCAGCAUAUGUAGAAUAUUGGAUUUUUCUUGGCUAUUUAUUGUAGUUCGUUCUUAGGGUUUGGAAAAUUCUUUAGGUAUAUUCCUUGUCUCAAGCGAGCAUGAGUAAUAUCUUCUUUAUGCUGCGUGCCGCCAAGUUUCUCUAUUUUAGAUGGUAGUAUCUUUUCGCUUCUAGAAAGGGAUAUGUAUUUUAUUAAUCUGACUAUAAUUUGUGGUAGGUACAUACUGAAGGAUGUUCUGAGGCUAGCACCUGGUUUAGAAGUUUUGCAGUUCACAACAAUACCUCAUAAUUUUGAUUUGAUGUCCAGAAUGUCAACUGAGGAAUGAGCCUAUGAACUGCAUUGUAUUUUGUAAUAUAUCCUUAUAUAUGGUGCUUGUGGCAUUUUUUUUGCAAUUAUAAGUUUACAUUUAUGGGUAUUUACAGAGUCCCCCUUUCUUUUUCCACAAGUGGCAGUAGUUGUGCCAUUCGAUUUGAAGGACAAAGAGUUGAUCACAAAGGGGUAGCAUUCAGGAUAUAUACACAAGAGUAUAGAACCAAAUUAUAUGAUGUAAUUGACCACUAUUUCUAUUAACUUUUCUUGUACACAAUGUUCACGAGUUCGUGUACAUUUUAUUGUGUCACUUGUGUUUACUUUUUUUUAAUGCAAGUUUACAGCUACUCGGAGU